UACGAGAGGCCCAAACGUUAUUCGGAAUUACUGGGCUUAAAGAGUUCGUAGGCGGCGCAGAAAGUAGGGUGUGAAAGCCCUCGGCUCAACCGAGGAAUUGCGCUCUAAACUACUGUGCUUGAGGAAGCUAGAGGUGAGCAGAACUGAUGGUGGAGCGGUGAAAUGCGUUGAUAUCAUCAGGAAUACCGGAGGCGAAGGCGGCUCACUGGGGCUUUUCUGACGCUGAGGAACGAAAGCCAGGGUAGCGAACGGG
rnacentral:rRNA from 2 species